rnacentral:rRNA from 1 species
CCUACGGGAGGCAGCAGUGAGGAAUAUUGGUCAAUGGACGGAAGUCUGAACCAGCCAUGCCGCGUGCAGGAAGACGGCUCUAUGAGUUGUAAACUGCUUUUGUACAAGGGUAAACCUGAAUACGUGUAUUCAGCUGAAAGUACUGUACGAAUAAGGAUCGGCUAACACCGUGCCAGCAGCCGCGGUAAUACGGAGGAUCCAAGCGUUAUCCGGAUUUAUUGGGUUUAAAGGGUGCGUAGGCGGAUUGAUAAGUUAGAGGUUAAAUGUCCGAGCUUAACUCGGGAACUGCCUCUAAUACUGUUGAUCUAGGGAGUAGAUGCGGUAGGCGGAAUGUAUGGUGUAGCGGUGAAAUGCUUAGAGAUCAUACAGAACACCGAUUGCGAAGGCAGCUUACCAAUCUAUAUCUGACGUUGAGGCACGAAAGCGUGGGGAGCAAACAGGAUUAGAUACCCCGGUAGUC